CUUUUAGUUUUACCCACAACCAAAUAUCCUCAUGAAUCCUGUUGCACUAUCACUUCACUUUCUCUAAAGUUCUUAUCUUUAUUUAAAGUCAUACCCCAAUAUUAUUACCAAAAACAACUUCUUACUAGAGGUUCCAUUUUGCUACACAUCCAAGAUCAAAAGAGGGAAUGGAAGGAGGAGCAAUGACAACUAAGGAUAUGAAGGUGGAGAUUAAUUCAUCGACGGAGUCGGAAAUGAUAUCGCCAACGUCUGAAAAUGUGACGACAGGAGGAUUAGUAAGGCAAGGAAGUAUGACAAAGAGCAGUUGUCUUUGCUCUCCCACGACCCAUGCAGGUUCAUUCAGGUGCAGGCUUCAUCGAGCUCCAAGUCUCCAAAGAACUAAAAGUAUUGAAUCAAAUCCUAAGGCUAAUACAAAUGCUUAUACAACUAGCUAGCAAUGGUACUUCUAUAGUUCUAUGGAGUUGCAAUAAGAAUUGGAUUAUUAUAUUGUCACCACAUAUAUUAAUGUUGAAAUCAACUAGUGGCUUGUAUUUUUAUGAAUGUUUAGCAUUGUUCGUGUUUCUUAAUUAAGUUGAUCUUUGUCCUUUGUGUUUUCACUCGUAGAGACUAUGUAAAGUAGCUUCGAGUUCUUUGAAUGAAAUGUGGCUUUGACUAA